rnacentral:rRNA from 1 species
CAGUCGCCGCGGUAAUACGUAGGUGGCAAGCGUUGUCCGGAAUUAUUGGGCGUAAAGGGCUCGCAGGCGGUUUCUUAAGUCUGAUGUGAAAGCCCCCGGCUCAACCGGGGAGGGUCAUUGGAAACUGGGAAACUUGAGUGCAGAAGAGGAGAGUGGAAUUCCAUGUGUAGCGGUGAAAUGCGUAGAGAUGUGGAGGAACACCAGUGGCGAAGGCGACUCUCUGGUCUGUAACUGACGCUGAGGAGCGAAAGCGUGGGGAGCGAACAGGAUUAGAUACCCCAGUAGUCCCUGUCUCUUAUAC